AUGGGGAACUGUUGCAGAUCUCCCGCAGCUGUAGCUCGAGAAGACGUAAAAUCCAACUACUCCGGCCACGAUCACCCCCGCAAAGCCUCCACCAACGGCAAAAAAUCAGCUCCGAUUCGAGUCCUCACCGACGUCCCCAAGGAGAACAUCGAGGACCGGUACUUGCUCGACCGAGAGCUCGGACGCGGCGAGUUCGGCGUCACCUACCUCUGCAUCGAGAGAGCCACGCGCGACCUCCUCGCCUGCAAGUCGAUCUCGAAGAGGAAGCUCAGGACCGCCGUGGAUAUCGAGGACGUGAAGAGAGAAGUGGCGAUUAUGAGGCAUCUGCCUAAGAGCUCGAGUAUCGUUACUCUCAAGGAGGCUUGUGAGGACGAUAGCGCUGUGCAUUUGGUGAUGGAGCUUUGUGAAGGUGGCGAGCUUUUCGAUCGGAUUGUGGCGAGGGGGCAUUACACGGAGCGCGCUGCCGCGGGGGUUACGAAGACGAUCGUUGAGGUUGUGCAGUUGUGUCACAAGCAUGGGGUGAUUCAUAGAGAUUUGAAGCCCGAGAAUUUUUUGUUUGCUAAUAAGAAGGAGAACUCGCCGCUUAAGGCUAUUGACUUUGGAUUGUCGAUUUUCUUCAAGCCAGGUGAGAAGUUCUCGGAGAUAGUUGGGAGUCCAUAUUACAUGGCACCUGAGGUGCUAAAGCGGAGCUAUGGACCCGAAAUAGAUAUUUGGAGUGCUGGAGUCAUUCUUUAUAUCCUGCUCUGUGGAGUUCCUCCUUUCUGGGCAGAGUCGGAACAGGGAGUUGCUCAGGCUAUUUUACGUGGGAUAAUUGAUUUUAAGAGAGAACCGUGGCCAAACAUUUCGGAGACUGCUAAGAGUCUUGUCAGACAAAUGUUAGAGCCUGAUCCAAAGCGCCGCCUGACUGCAAAGCAAGUGCUUGAGCACCCGUGGAUUCAAAACGCCAAGAAAGCUCCAAAUGUCCCUCUUGGAGAUGUUGUCAAGUCCAGAUUAAAGCAAUUUUCAGUGAUGAACAGAUUCAAGAGAAAAGCUCUGAGGGUUAUUGCCGAAUUCUUAUCUUCCCAAGAAGUAGAAGACAUCAAAGAGAUGUUCAACAAGAUGGAUACUGAUAAAGAUGGUAUUGUUACCAUCGAGGAGUUGAAAGCUGGACUUCGCGAUUUUGGUACACAGCUAGCUGAAUCAGAAGUUCAGAUGCUUAUUGAAGCGGUGGAUACUAAAGGGAAAGGAGCACUAGACUAUGGAGAAUUCGUUGCAGUCUCGCUCCACCUGCAAAAGGUAGCAAAUGAUGAGCAUCUCCGGAAAGCAUUCUCCUACUUUGACAAAGAUGGAAAUGGAUACAUUUUACCCGAGGAGCUUUGUGAGGCCUUAAAGGAAGAUGGAGGGGAUGACUGUGUGGAUGUCGCCAAUGAUAUAUUCCAAGAAGUUGACACGGACAAGGAUGGGAGAAUAAGCUACGAAGAGUUUGCGGCAAUGAUGAAAACAGGAACGGAUUGGAGAAAGGCAUCUCGUCAUUACUCGAGAGGGAGAUUCAAUAGCCUAAGCAUCAAACUAAUGAAGGACGGAUCUUUGAACCUAGGCAACGAAUAGUGAACAAAGAUGGAACUUCUCAUUAAUCUAUUGUUGUGCUAUGUCAUCAUCGCUGCAUGUUUCUUCGUUGACCAGAUUCCUCAGAAACAUCCAGAUGGUAGGGACGUAGGGAUUCAAGCAAGGAUGCCGGAGGAGGAUUUUCCUCUGCUUAAAAUGACAUGAAAAAAAAAGACAGUGUGAUUUGAUUGAUUGGUCAGCCAGAGAGACUGUCAGAGAGAACCCAUAAGCUCGAGUGAAUGAGGGAGGUAGCUUGAUGAAGACUGGUUUCUUUGAUCUUUUAAAGAAGUCUAGUUUCUUUAGCUUUCUUUGUUUGCAUUUCAUGUUUCGUCUUGUAUAUAUUAUGUGUUUUGAUAUGAAUUUCUGAUAAAAGCUAUAAAAGAGAAGCUGGUUCUCUCAUAAAGUUAAGGAAUUCAGUUUUUGUUAGUUGAUGAAUCAUGGUUCUAUUUUCAUAUUUGAUCUCAUUUUUAUUCACUUUACUAGUUCAUGUUCGGGAAACGAUUUGUACAUUCAGCAAAGUUUUGACAAAAUUAUUCGGACUUCAGAUGCAUUGUAGUCAUGUCUUGGUAAACUGUACGUCGUGGAUAGAAAGCUGAAAUAAACUUACAUGAACCGCUAAGAACUGUUUGGCUUUCUUAGG